CAUGAUUGCACUAUAAAUUUCUCUGAAAUGUUUUUACUCUACUUAAUGCUGGGGAAUACUAGAAUGUGACAAGUUGUUCCUGUAAAGCCCGUUAUGUAAACCCAAGAUUUCUGUGAACUCUUGCUCUUGUCAGUCCUGGUGUAUAUGUUGUGAAAUGCCUCUGGCACUUCAAAUGAGUCUUGAUUACUUGAGAAUAUUGAUGACUCCGUUAGGCUAUUUACCUUCUUAAUCCUGAAUAUUUCUGGGUGAAGUCCCAGUUUAGUAAUGCUGUGGCUCUAGAAGUUGCAUAUAAGAACCUUUCUUAAAUUCUUGUGUUAAGAUGGAAGUAAUUUGCCUGCUUUAGGCUCAGUGUGGCAUGUGGGUUUUCUAUAAUUAUCUUAAUUUAUGAAUAUAAAACUUACAGUUACAUCUACGUCAGUUCAGUGACUGAGUUUUAUCAGUUGGUGGAACUUGACUCCUUGAAAACACAAUGCUUAGGAAAAAAAGUUAUUAACUACUCCAGUGAAUAUUGUGAAAAAUCAUCGGUCUCUUGGAGGAAAAUUGCCUACUUCCCUGAAACGCUUUAGUCGUACAACAAUAAUAAUGUUGCCAAUUUAGAAGAGGAUGCUGAAAGAAGGGAAGUUGCUGCUUACAAGAUUAUGCUGGUACACAAAGGGUGAGUAGCAGACUGUUGGUGGCCUACUGGAAUAAGUAGGGAAAGGUAAUUUGUCUGUCCCAUCUGCUUUAUGGGGGUGGAGGGGAUGAGACCAGCACUUAAUUUGUAAAAUUACAGCUUCAGAUUGGCACAACGUCUAAACUAAAAAAUAUUAUUAGGCAGCAGGUUACUGGCUAAGUGGACUGGUCCAUAAUGCGAAGAGAAUCCUCUCCCUAGCCAGCAAGGCAUGCAUUUCUGCAGUUGAGCCAGUAGUUCUGGCUACUUUGCUGUCUUGUAUUUAAAUGUGUAUUCUGAGGCCUGUUUAACCUGAGGCUUUUGACUUGUUAUCAGGUUUGUCCCUUUGGCUCUGUCACAGCUAAUGUCCACAAAAGCAGGAAUCAAAGGGAAGUGCUGCAUCUCACUGAAUGAGGGAGUGCAAAAUGUCAGAUUGGACUGGUUGUGGUAAAGGCUGUAGGAGUUGCCAUGUGAUCUAUAGCUCACUGAAAAACUUGUGCAGAAGAUGCUGUAGUUAUAAGUAACUGUAGAGAAGAAAAGCUACGUUUUUGCAACAGAAAUGCAUGUUCUUUAUCUGCAACUAUCAAGAGGUUAUAGGUAAGGGCAAACUCAAAAUGGUUUUGAUUGAUUGUGUAGUUUUCAAACUAUUUGGAGGUGCCUGGCUUUGUGAUCUCUUCCAAUUCAAGAACUUUCAGUUCCUAGCCCAAAGAGUGGUAGUGUAUUUUUAAAACAGGCUGUUGUAUUGAAUAUGGUGUUAAGUGGAUAUAUUUUUCUCCCUUCCCACUUCAAGUGUAAGCUACAUUUAUGGUUAAUAAUUCUUAACAUUGAGUGGCUUUUCUUUGCAGUUAUUAGGAGGAGAUGUUUCCAUGCCAUGUAGUCUGUUGAGCUUAAGGGAUGCCAUGAGAGUCAGGGUUGAAUAGGCAGGUGUGCUCUAGAACCUUCAGGUGGUGAUGUAAUUCACCUGUAGUAUCUGCAUGUUAUCACUAGGUCUCCAUACUAUUUUUACUAGAGUUUUGGCAGCCUUGAUUAACAAACAGUACAGGUGCUUCGCUGGUUGACAUAUUCUUCAGCCAUAAAUAGUUAAACUUUUGGCUUUAAUUAUGUCACUGAAUCUUUGAUACAGUAAACUUCUAGAGCGUUCUUUUUGAGCUUGGGAAUUCAAACAAAUAUGUCAGCAGUAACUUUUUUUUAGGAGGAUGUUCAAAUUGGCAAGCUUUAGUUUUGCCCUCUCUAACUUAUGUUUGUGUUGGGUUUGACCUGCGAUUUCAAUAUACAUACCACAUAGAAUGAAAUAAUUGUGAAUUUUACUGUGUUGCCAUAAUUCUUUUCUAUAUUAUGCCAGUACCUGUAAUUCUCUGUACUUCCACUAAGUGUUAUAAACCAGUAAUGCUUCCCCCCACCCUAGCCCCCCGAGUUCUUUCUGUGGGGAAGGAGAAGAAUGGAUGUUCUGCACUUGCAAAUCAGAAAAUGUAUGUUGUACAUGCUACUGAAUUUGAUGACAGAGAUGUCUUUGAAUGUGUGAAGCCAAAAUGCUUAGCCACCAUUACUGGGUGGAAAUGGCAGCCAAGCAACAGUGAAUUCCAGGAGACAAAUGCUGAGGCAAAGUCAUAACUUUGUUCCUGUGUUCAACAGCCAAAUGACAGUUGAUUGCAGUAUUUGCCACUUGAUUUUAAUCUGUGAUUUAAAGAUAUUUUCCAUAAAGCCAUCAGGUAUUUGUAUGAGGACACUGCUUAAUAUCCAAAGUUUGUUGUUUUAGGGAUUUUUUUAAUCUGAAUAAUCCUCCCCUAAAACAACUACCUCUUUCUAUCCCCCAGCCUUCACUUCUGUGGCUGCUGUUUCAGGGAGUUAUUGUUAAUUUGCAUUUAAUCAGCUCUUGCAGGUUGAAUGGCGGAAAACUAGGAUAGUUUGAUAACUUUGUGUGCAUGUUUUCCUAUGCAUGCAGCAGUGACUUUGAUAACCUGCAGCCUGAAAGGUUGGUGUGGAACUGCUGAACUAAAAGGGCCAUUAAAAGUAGAAGUCAGAAAUUACAUGCUUAUAAAUGAUUACUCCAUGAAUCCAUGCUCCCCUGUGGCUCAGUAUAAAUGUCCUUGCCUAGAUGAAGGCUUGCUGUUCCAUCCUUGGUUUAGUUUUGGAAAUUCAAGACACAAACUGGGUGAAAUUGUGUUACUACUAUUAACUAGUGUUUUGUGCUUUUCCCAGGGGACUAUGUCAUCUAACUGAUGCAGAAAUUUUCAGUCUUGUGU